GGAGCCUUGGCGCAAUGGUAGCGCGUUGGUUUUCGGUUUGAAAACAUAAACACCAAAGGUUGUGGGUUCGAUCCCCAUGGGCUUCG
rnacentral:tRNA from 1 species